GCACCAUUAGCUCAGUUGGUAGAGCAACUGACUCUUAAUCAGUGGGUCCACGGUUCGAGUCCGUGAUGGUGUACCA
rnacentral:tRNA from 1 species